CCGUCUCAGAUGGCCGCGUGACGCCGGCCCGGUGAGCGCGGCCAUGACCUCCGACUCGGCCCACCACGUGCGGCUGCUGGUGCUGGGCGGGCCGCGCGUCGGCAAAACGUCCAUCUGCCGCCGCUUCCUGUACGGGGAGUUCGAGACGCGCUACCGGCCCACCCUGGAGGAGCAGUACUCGCGCACCUUCCAGCUGGGCGGCACGCGGCUCGAACUGGACGUACUGGAUACGUGUGGCGACAACAGCUUCCCGGCCAUGAGGAGGGUGUCGAUAGCGCACGCGCAGGCGUUUCUGCUGGUGUUUAGCGUGGACAGCCACUCGUCGCUGCUGCAGGCGGCCGACUGUUUCGGCGAGAUCCGCCGUCUGCGGGACGACUACCGCGAGGUGCCCACCCUGCUGGCCGGCAACAAGAGCGACGUACCCGGCGACGAGCGCCAGGUGAACAGCAUCACCGCCUCCAACUGGUUCUUCUCCAAAAUGUCCGCAGAAAGGGGCCGCUUCCUGGAGUGCUCGGCGCUGCGGAACACCAACGUCACAGAGGUGUUCCGCUCGUUCCUGGUGCUCGGUAACAUCCCGACCGUGCCGGGGCCGAGCACGGCCGUCCGGCGGCAGCUGUCACUGCGGCUGUCCCGGCGACGCGCCGCCAGCCCCGCGCCGGACGGAAAGGCGCCCGCCGCAGAGACCGAUCCGGCCUCCUUCCAGAAGGCGCGCAGCAAGAGCCUCAUUCGGAGGGCCUCGCGCAAGAAAGCCAAGCCGGCCGAGAUGACGGACGACCAGUGCGGCGUGCAGUGACCGGGGUCGGCGGUAGAUGGCGCCGGCGUCGCCCCGUCAAACGCACACCAGAUGGGAGCACUGUCGCGGAGCCCGGAUGCGCUGAUUUGAGAGAGCGCGGCUGGUGCUGAUGCGAGGCUGGGGCCGAAGAUCGUGGACGCCGAUGUGGACUCCGAGGUGGACGCCGAUGUGGACUCCGAUGUGGAAGGUGCACCGCCGCGGAGUGGACUCCGUGUGGACGAGGCGCUCACAGGUCCAGUCGCAGCGGUGUGAACUGUGGACUGUGGAAUAUCAUACUGUGAGCUGUGAGUUGUGAGCUGGCGGUCGAUCAAUAUGGACUCAGUGUGGAAAUCUGUACAUAUACGGACCGUCAGUCGAGGUCGAUUAGGGCUCUGUGUGGGGACGUUUACACAUGGACCUAUUCUAGAGAGUUUGUGACGGUUUCCGUGUCAAAAUAUGGACCGUCUGUCACUCCGUGAAAUGACUUGACACUGGGAGGAGAAACGUAUCACAGAAAACGUCCCCACCUAUAGCAGUGGAGUCCAAGUGUCAUUUUGCAGUUGUACUGCACCACUAAUGUGUUUGGUGUACACUUGUGUCAUAUGUGUUUUUUGUCUUUUAAUUGUACGUACCUUCUGCGAUGUGAUGUGAUCUCUCACCUCGUUGUUUUGUUUGUGUAAGCCAAUCUAAUGACAUUCCUAAUUUAGGCAUUUAUUUGACUGUCUUUAUUUGCUCAAAAUACGCACCGUUAAAAUGUUACAAAAUAAAAUAUAUUCAUAGAUUACAAUGCUAAAUAUCAGACAAAA
rnacentral:misc_RNA from 1 species